GACGAACGCUGGCGGCGUGCUUAACACAUGCAAGUCGAACGGAAAGGCCCUGCUUUUGUGGGUUGCUCGAGUGGCGAACGGGUGAGUAACACGUGAGUAACCUGCCCUUGACUUUGGGAUAACUUCAGGAAACUGGGGCUAAUACCGGAUAGGAGCUCCUGCUGCAUGGUGGGGGUUGGAAAGUUUCGGCGGUUGGGGAUGGACUCGCGGGUUAUCAGCUUGUUGGUGGGGUAGUGGCUUACCAAGGCUUUGACGGGUAGCCGGCCUGAGAGGGUGACCGGCCACAUUGGGACUGAGAUACGGCCCAGACUCCUACGGGAGGCAGCAGUGGGGAAUAUUGCACAAUGGGCGGAAGCCUGAUGCAGCAACGCCGCGUGCGGGAUGACGGCCUUCGGGGUGUAAACCGCUUUCGCCUGUGACGAAGCGUGAGUGACGGUAAUGGGUAAAGAAGCACCGGCUAACUACGUG
rnacentral:rRNA from 1 species